ACUCUGAAGGGCAUGUGCCUGGAUAGCCAUCGCAAUAAACACCUCCAGAGGCUGGAGCUCUGCCUGCACGUCCUGGGAGGGACCGUACGCCGCAUUGCCAACGCGUCUGAGGUCCUAGGUGCUGCUCACCAGGAGGCAAAAACGAGUCACGCGGUGCAGCUGAUGGUUGCUCACGUGGAGAGCGUGAAACAGGGACGGGCCAGGGACCGCGCCCAGCUGGAUGAGACCCAGCGGCUUCUCCAACAGUCCACCGAGUCCAGAGGUGCCGUGGUUCUUCAGAAGAGCGGUAAAGACUCCCAGACGCUCGCCGUGCGCCGCAGAGUCAACCUGAGCACCCAGGGCCAGGGACAGGAGAUGAGAAAGCAAGAACAAGGCACAAAGGACAAGUCAGCGCUGGAGGAGAAACCUGGUAAGAAGUUGAGGUUGGAGCAGAGGGAACCCAGUAAAAGCAGUUCGGGUGAAGACUGUCCUCUAGUGGGCAGCAGGCAGUUUGCAUCUCCAGAUGUAUGUGAAGGGGACACACUGACAUUAGAAGACUUUCCCGCCACAAGCCCUGGGUGCUGUCCAACUCACGCCAUGGCUGAACCAGGGACCUUGACGAACCUUAUCAGACCACCUCACAAGAGUCUUCGAAGGAGACAAAGGAGUAAGACUGAUGUUUGUGGCACCUCCUCAAAAGGCGGGGGACCGGGGCACGAUCACACCCCCACUGAUGGAAGUGACCUUGGCCUACGGCGCCUCCUGGAGCACUGGCAGUACCACUGCCGCUGGAUUCUGGCCUACAUCUACAUCACCGUGCUGGGCUCCCUGGUGCUACUGGCCGUCUUCUUCUGGUUCCUGCGAACUCCUGUCCUUUGGAUGUGAAUCUAUAGCAGAAGACUGCUUUCCAAGCCUGGUUUGUUCGUCAAUAUAUGUAAUAUACGUUGUUGGAUAUCUCAGUGUUUAAAAUGUAUGUUUGUGUAGUUAUUUUAAUUUCAUGACAAAUGUAGCCCAAACGUGUAAAUGAAUGGAAGUUUACUCCUGCUGUGUAUUUUUAUAAUAAUACAAGAAAAAAAAUAACCUUCAAUUGUAAGAGGGCAUUUGUAUCCUGUUCAUCUGAAAAAUUCACACACCAAUUAUAAUGGCAUAAUAUUUUAUUACAAAUAUGCAAAAGACAAAAAAAGUUGUUAUCUCUCUCUCUCUGUAUAUAUAAGGCAUUACAAGGGUAAAGUAUUUUCAUGCUUGAAAUUAUAAUACCUGCCCAAGACACAAUAUAAAAUACAAUAUCAUGAAGCAGCAUCCUUAUAUUACUACGUGUGUGAAUUAGAAAAUAACGAUUUAACUUAGCGAGAGUUUAAUGAGCAACGGAAAUAGGCAUUGAUGGGAAACCAUUCAUCAUUUUUGUAGGAAUGCGUGUGCCUGACACAGAUUCUUCUUUCUAGAAAUGUAUUUUAGCAACAAUUAAAUAACAAAAGACAAUAAUAAUAUUAAUAACAUAGCAGGUGUACGCAAAACAGUUGAGCAUAAAAACUCUAAAUAAAUAAAUGGCCAAGUAGCCUUACA
rnacentral:lncRNA from 1 species